rnacentral:miRNA from 1 species
CUCGGAGGCCUUGCCC